rnacentral:rRNA from 1 species
UACGUAGGGACCAAGCGUUGUUCGGAUUUACUGGGCGUAAAGGGCGCGUAGGCGGCAUGACAAGUCAUUUGUGAAAUCUCCGGGCUUAACUCGGAACGGUCAAGUGAUACUGUCGCGCUAGAGUGCGGAAGGGGCAAUCAGAAUUCUUGGUGUAGCGGUGAAAUGCGUAGAUAUCAGGAGGAACACCAGCGGCGAAGGCGGCGCUCUGGGCCGGAACUGACGCUGAGGAGCGAAAGCGUGGGGAGCAAACAGG